UUGAAAAACCGGUUCCCAUACGGUCACCGAAGUUAAGCAACGUCGAGCAUGAUAAGUACAGAGAUGGGAGACUCUUAGGAAUACCAUGUGCUGUAAG